AACGAACGCUGGCGGCAUGCCUAACACAUGCAAGUCGAACGAGACCUUCGGGUCUAGUGGCGCACGGGUGCGUAACGCGUGGGAACCUGCCCUUAGGUUCGGAAUAACUCCCCGAAAGGGGUGCUAAUACCGGAUAAUGUCUUCGGACCAAAGAUUUAUCGCCUCUGGAUGGGCCCGCGUUGGAUUAGCUAGUUGGUAGGGUAAAAGCCUACCAAGGCGACGAUCCAUAGCUGGUCUGAGAGGAUGAUCAGCCACACUGGGACUGAGACACGGCCCAGACUCCUACGGGAGGCAGCAGUGGGGAAUAUUGGACAAUGGGCGAAAGCAUGAUCCAGCAAUGCCGCGUGAGUGAUGAAGGCCUUAGGGUUGUAAAGCUCUUUUAACCGGGAUGAUAAUGACAGUACCGGGAGAAUAAGCUCCGGCUAACUCCGUG
rnacentral:rRNA from 1 species